UCUCUCUCUCUCUCUCUUUCUCUCUCUCUCUCUCUCUCUCUCUCUCUCUCUCUCUCUCUCUCUCUCUCAGUAAACAGUACUGAGCAGGGAGGGGCUUAGUAACGUGACUGCUGAAGUGAAACUAAUGGAAACCAAAAUGUUAUGAACAGAUCAAUCUUUUGCACUCAGAAUCUAUCCACACAGUUGCGCCUCCUGUAGCCUCCAGUCACUGUUGACCCUUUUUCUAAUCAGAAGAAGAGAAAGAACAGUCAACACACGCUGAGCCAUGGUUUCCUCCUGUAUUCUCCUGUGAAGAGCAGUUCCAUUGCUCUAUCUGUCUGGAUGUGUUCACUGAGCCAGUCUCUAUCCCCUGUGGACACAACUACUAGCUCUCCAUCCAUCUGCACCACCCUUCCACCUUCCAAGUACUGGUCUGAGAUCAGUGUCCACAGUGGUCUGUGUGUGGGGACUAUGAGGAGUGCUGUCUCAGCUGUGAAAUACUGAAUAAAGAGAUGGAGAAGUUGUGUGAUGUUGAUCUGAAGAGGACACAGUAGUGUGCAGUGAAUGUGACUCUGGACCCUCAUAUAGCGAAUACAAAACUCAUCCUGUCUGAGGACUGGAAACAAGUGAGAUCUGGAAGCAUAAAACAGAAUCUCCCAGCCAACCCAGAGAGGUUUGAUAAUAAUGCCUGUGUUUUCGGGAAUAAGAGGUUCUCCUCAGGGAGAUUCUAUUAUGAGGUGCAGGUGAAGGGGAAGUCUAUGUGGGUUUGGCUAGAGAGUGGCUAGAGAGUUUGGCUAGAGAGUGGCUAGAGAGUCCAUCAACAGGAAUGAUUGUGAUGAAUCACCAAGUCCUGUAGAUGGAUAUUGGACUGUAGGGCAGUGGAAUAUGAAUGAAUACAAGGCAUACGCUGGGCAUUGGGUCAACCUCUCCCUGAGUAAGAAGCCCCAGAAGGUGGGGGUGUUUGUGGAUUAUGAGGAGGGUGAGGUUUUCUUUUAUGAUGUGGAUGCCAGGUCUCAUAUCUACUCUUUCACUGGCUGCACCUUUACUGAGAGACUCUACCCACUGUUCUCUACAGGCACGAAUAUUCCUGGUGAUAACUCAGCUCCACUUAUCAUCUCUACCAUCAAGUCUGACUGAGUUUAGUGAACAAGGAACUCAGUCAAUGGGAAUCACAGCAAUAUGCCUUAUUCAAUUUGGCGAUAUUUCUUCUUGCGAUAGAUAUUUCUUAGUGCUAGACCUUAUCAGUUGAUCAGAUUUCAUGAUGAAGAAUACUUCUCUUAUGUCCUAAUACUGUUUUACAAUCUAUAUUAAAAAGGUAUUGCCUGUGAG